UAGCGGAGGAAAAGAAACCAACAGGGAUUGCCUCAGUAACGGCGAGUGAAGCGGCAAAAGCUCAAAUUUGAAAUCUAGCACCUUCGGUGUUUGAGUUGUAAUUUGAAGAUGGUAACCUUGGGUUUGGCUCUUGUCUAUGUUCCUUGGAACAGGACGUCAUAGAGGGUGAGAAUCCCGUCUGAUGAGAUGCCCAUUCCUAUGUAAGGUGCUAUCGAAGAGUCGAGUUGUUUGGGAAUGCAGCUCUAAGUGGGUGGUAAAUUCCAUCUAAAGCUAAAUAUUGGCGAGAGACCGAUAGCGAACAAGUACAGUGAUGGAAAGAUGAAAAGAACUUUGAAAAGAGAGUGAAAAAGUACGUGAAAUUGUUGAAAGGGAAGGGCAUUAGAUCAGACUUGGUGUUUUACGAUUAUCUUCUCUUCUUGAGUUGUGCACUCGUAUUUCACUGGGCCAGCAUCGAUUCGGAUGGCAAGAUAAUGGCAGUUGAAUGUGGCUUCACUUCGGUGGAGUGUUAUAGCUUCUGCUGAUAUUGCCUGUCUGGAUCGAGGGCUGCGUCUUUUGACUAGGAUGCUGGCGUAAUGAUCUAAUGCCGCCCGUCUUAAA
rnacentral:rRNA from 1 species